rnacentral:rRNA from 1 species
UACGGAAGGUCCGGGCGUUAUCCGGAUUUAUUGGGUUUAAAGGGAGCGUAGGCCGCGCCUUAAGCGUGUUGUGAAAUGCGGGUGCUCAACAUCCGACUUGCAGCGCGAACUGGGGUGCUUGAGUGCGCCGAAAGUAGGCGGAAUUCGUGGUGUAGCGGUGAAAUGCUUAGAUAUCACGAAGAACUCCGAUUGCGAAGGCAGCUUACUGUAGCGCAACUGACGCUGAUGCUCGAAAGCGUGGGUAUCGAACAGG